rnacentral:rRNA from 1 species
GGGUUGUGAGGUUAAGCGACUAAGCGUACACGGUGGAUGCCCUGGCAGUCAGAGGCGAUGAAGGACGUGCUAAUCUGCGAAAAGCGUCGGUAAGGUGAUAUGAACCGUUAUAACCGGCGAUGUCCGAAUGGGGAAACCCAGUGUGAUUCGUCACACUAUCGUUAACUGAAUACAUAGGUUAACGAGGCGAACCGGGGGAACUGAAACAUCUAAGUACCCCGAGGAAAAGAAAUCAACCGAGAUUCCCCCAGUAGCGGCGAGCGAACGGGGAGCAGCCCAGAGUCUGAAUCAGCUUGUGUGUUAGUGGAACGGUCUGGAAAGUCCGACGGUACAGGGUGAUAGUCCCGUACACCAAAAUGCACAGGUUGUGAACUCGAAGAGUAGGGCGGGACACGUGGUAUCCUGUCUGAAUAUGGGGGGACCAUCCUCCAAGGCUAAAUACUCCUGACUGACCGAUAGUGAACCAGUACCGUGAGGGAAAGGCGAAAAGAACCCCGGCGAGGGGAGUGAAAAAGAACCUGAAACCGUGUACGUACAAGCAGUGGGAGCACCUUCGGGUGUGACUGCGUACCUUUUGUAUAAUGGGUCAGCGACUUAUAUUCUGUAGCAAGGUUAACCGUAUAGGGGAGCCGCAGGGAAACCGAGUCUUAACUGGGCGUUAAGUUGCAGGGUAUAGACCCGAAACCCGGUGAUCUAGCCAUGGGCAGGUUGAAGGUUGGGUAACACUAACUGGAGGACCGAACCGACUAAUGUUGAAAAAUUAGCGGAUGACUUGUGGCUGGGGGUGAAAGGCCAAUCAAACCGGGAGAUAGCUGGUUCUCCCCGAAAGCUAUUUAGGUAGCGCCUCGUGAACUCAUCUUCGGGGGUAGAGCACUGUUUCGGCUAGGGGGUCAUCCCGACUUACCAACCCGAUGCAAACUACGAAUACCGAAGAAUGUUAUCACGGGAGACACACGGCGGGUGCUAACGUCCGUCGUGAAGAGGGAAACAACCCAGACCGCCAGCUAAGGUCCCAAAGUCAUGGUUAAGUGGGAAACGAUGUGGGAAGGCACAGACAGCCAGGAUGUUGGCUUAGAAGCAGCCAUCAUUUAAAGAAAGCGUAAUAGCUCACUGGUCGAGUCGGCCUGCGCGGAAGAUGUAACGGGGCUAAACCAUGCACCGAAGCUGCGGCAGCGACACUAUGUGUUGUUGGGUAGGGGAGCGUUCUGUAAGCCUGCGAAGGUGUGCUGUGAGGCAUGCUGGAGGUAUCAGAAGUGCGAAUGCUGACAUAAGUAACGAUAAAGCGGGUGAAAAGCCCGCUCGCCGGAAGACCAAGGGUUCCUGUCCAACGUUAAUCGGGGCAGGGUGAGUCGACCCCUAAGGCGAGGCCGAAAGGCGUAGUCGAUGGGAAACAGGUUAAUAUUCCUGUACUUGGUGUUACUGCGAAGGGGGGACGGAGAAGGCUAUGUUAGCCGGGCGACGGUUGUCCCGGUUUAAGCAUGUAGGCUGGUUGUCCAGGCAAAUCCGGAUAAUCAAGGCUGAGGUGUGAUGACGAGGCACUACGGUGCUGAAGUAACAAAUGCCCUGCUUCCAGGAAAAGCCUCUAAGCAUCAGGUAACAUCAAAUCGUACCCCAAACCGACACAGGUGGUCAGGUAGAGAAUACCAAGGCGCUUGAGAGAACUCGGGUGAAGGAACUAGGCAAAAUGGUGCCGUAACUUCGGGAGAAGGCACGCUGGUGUGUAGGUGAAGUCCCUGCGGAUGGAGCUGAGACCAGUCGAAGAUACCAGCUGGCUGCAACUGUUUAUUAAAAACACAGCACUGUGCAAACACGAAAGUGGACGUAUACGGUGUGACGCCUGCCCGGUGCCGGAAGGUUAAUUGAUGGGGUUAUCCGUAAGGAGAAGCUCUUGAUCGAAGCCCCGGUAAACGGCGGCCGUAACUAUAACGGUCCUAAGGUAGCGAAAUUCCUUGUCGGGUAAGUUCCGACCUGCACGAAUGGCGUAAUGAUGGCCAGGCUGUCUCCACCCGAGACUCAGUGAAAUUGAACUCGCUGUGAAGAUGCAGUGUACCCGCGGCAAGACGGAAAGACCCCGUGAACCUUUACUAUAGCUUGACACUGAACAUUGAGCCUUGAUGUGUAGGAUAGGUGGGAGGCUUUGAAGCGUGGACGCCAGUCUGCGUGGAGCCAACCUUGAAAUACCACCCUUUAAUGUUUGAUGUUCUAACGUUGGCCCCUUAUCGGGGUUGCGGACAGUGUCUGGUGGGUAGUUUGACUGGGGCGGUCUCCUCCCAAAGCGUAACGGAGGAGCACGAAGGUUAGCUAAUCCUGGUCGGACAUCAGGAGGUUAGUGCAAUGGCAUAAGCUAGCUUGACUGCGAGCGUGACGGCGCGAGCAGGUGCGAAAGCAGGUCAUAGUGAUCCGGUGGUUCUGAAUGGAAGGGCCAUCGCUCAACGGAUAAAAGGUACUCCGGGGAUAACAGGCUGAUACCGCCCAAGAGUUCAUAUCGACGGCGGUGUUUGGCACCUCGAUGUCGGCUCAUCACAUCCUGGGGCUGAAGUAGGUCCCAAGGGUAUGGCUGUUCGCCAUUUAAAGUGGUACGCGAGCUGGGUUUAGAACGUCGUGAGACAGUUCGGUCCCUAUCUGCCGUGGGCGCUGGAGAAUUGAGGGGGGCUGCUCCUAGUACGAGAGGACCGGAGUGGACGCAUCACUGGUGUUCGGGUUGUCAUGCCAAUGGCACUGCCCGGUAGCUAAAUGCGGAAGAGAUAAGUGCUGAAAGCAUCUAAGCACGAAACUUGCCCCGAGAUGAGUUCUCCCUGAGACUUUAAGUCUCCUGAAGGAACGUUAAAGACGAUGACGUUGAUAGGCCGGGUGUGUAAGCGCAGCGAUGCGUUGAGCUAACCGGUACUAAUGAACCGUGAGGCUUAACCUUACAACGCCGAAG